rnacentral:rRNA from 1 species
AACGCUAGCUACAGGCUUAACACAUGCAAGUCGAGGGGCAGCAUGAUUUGUAGCAAUACAGAUUGAUGGCGACCGGCGCACGGGUGAGUAACGCGUAUGCAACCUACCUAUCAGAGGGGGAUAGCCCGGCGAAAGUCGGAUUAAUACCCCAUAAAACAGGGGUCCCGCAUGGGAAUAUUUGUUAAAGAUUCAUCGCUGAUAGAUAGGCAUGCGUUCCAUUAGAUAGUAGGCGGGGUAACGGCCCACCUAGUCUUCGAUGGAUAGGGGUUCUGAGAGGAAGGUCCCCCACAUUGGAACUGAGACACGGUCCAAACUCCUACGGGAGGCAGCAGUGAGGAAUAUUGGUCAAUGGGCGAGAGCCUGAACCAGCCAAGUAGCGUGAAGGAUGACUGCCCUAUGGGUUGUAAACUUCUUUUAUAAAGGAAUAAAGCCGGGUAUGGAUACCCGUUUGCAUGUACUUUAUGAAUAAGGAUCGGCUAACUCCGUGCCAGCAGCCGCGGUAAUACGGAGGAUCCGAGCGUUAUCCGGAUUUAUUGGGUUUAAAGGGAGCGUAGGCCGUCUGUUAAGCGUGUUGUGAAAUGUAGAUGCUCAACAUCUGAAUUGCAGCGCGAACUGGCAGACUUGAGUGUGCGCAACGUAGGCGGAAUUCGUGGUGUAGCGGUGAAAUGCUUAGAUAUCACGAAGAACUCCGAUUG